GAUGAACGCUAGCUACAGGCUUAACACAUGCAAGUCGAGGGGUAACGAGAGAAAAGCUUGCUUUCCUUGUCGACGACCGGCGCACGGGUGAGUAACGCGUAUCCAACCUGCCCCCAACUAGGGAAUAACCUUGCGAAAGCAAGACUAAUACCCUAUAAUUUCCUCAGAUGUCAUCUGACGAGGAAUAAAGAUUUAUCGGUUGUGGAUGGGGAUGCGUCUGAUUAGCUUGUUGGCGGGGUAACGGCCCACCAAGGCAACGAUCAGUAGGGGUUCUGAGAGGAAGGUCCCCCAAAUUGGAACUGAGACACGGUCCAAACUCCUACGGGAGGCAGCAGUGAGGAAUAUUGGUCAAUGGGCGGAAGCCUGAACCAGCCAAGUAGCGUGCAGGAUGACGGCCCUAUGGGUUGUAAACUGCUUUUAUACAGGAAUAAAGUUAGCCACGUGUGGUUAUUCGUAGGUACUGUAUGAAUAAGGACCGGCUAAUUCCGUGCCAGCCGCCGCUGUAA
rnacentral:rRNA from 1 species